rnacentral:tRNA from 1 species
GGAUUGUGGCUCAGCGGUAGAGCGCUGGUCUAGCAUGUGUGAGGCCCUGGGUUUGAUCCUAAGCACCA